GAUGAACGCUAGCGGCAGGCUUAAUACAUGCAAGUCGAGGGGCAGCAUGAUUGUAGCAAUACAAUUGAUGGCGACCGGCAAACGGGUGCGGAACACGUACACAACCUUCCAACAAGUGGGGGAGAGCCCAGAGAAAUUUGGAUUAAUACCCCGUAACGUAGCGAUGUGGCAUCACAUUGCUAUUAUAGAUUUUUCGCUUGUUGAUGGGUGUGCGGCUGAUUAGAUAGUUGGCGGGGGUAACGGCCCACCAAGUCUACGAUCAGUAGCUGAUGUGAGAGCAUGAUCAGCCAUACGGGCACUGAGACACGGGCCCGACUCCUACGGGAGGCAGCAGUAAGGAAUAUUGGACAAUGGACGCAAGUCUGAUCCAGCCAUGCCGCGUGAAGGAUUAAGGUCCUCUGGAUUGUAAACUUCUUUUAUAAGGGACGAAAAAAGGCUUUUCUAAGUCGUCUGACGGUACCUUAUGAAUAAGCACCGGCUAACUCCGUGCCAGCCGCCGCAGUAAGAC
rnacentral:rRNA from 1 species